rfam:Desulfotomaculum ferrireducens strain GSS09, complete genome.
CGGGUAGUAUCCCGCUGGGAACUGCACCUGGAUAAACCUCAUAACAAAAAAAUACGAUGAAUGCCGCUUGGAGCCGGAUGGACCGAGACGGGGGG